UAACCUCUGGCGAAAAUCGUGCAUGUUG
rfam:Bizionia argentinensis JTB59 contig00087, whole genome shotgun sequence.